CUCCCUGCACCCGUCCCCACAUGCAGCAGCAGAAUAGUGGGUAGAAUUGCCAGGGUAUGGGACCAUCCUGAACCCCAUCAGCAGCAAUUCCAGCGCCCCGCCCCCAACCUCAGGCAUGAAGACCAAGGUGUGUGGAAACUGUCUAUGGAUACAUGUCCCUUGACGUCUGGCCUCCACCAGGAUAUUGCCUGGGUUAAAUUCCACAUAUCUCACCCUGAAGGCAGCACUGUGAGCUUCCUUCAGCUGAAGCAAGCCCUCCUCCAUCUCUUCUAUAACGUCGUAUGUACGGGGCUCAUCGAGCAAUUUAAAUCUUUCAAAAUGAUAGAUCCAGGCUAACCCAUUCAAGAUAUUACUUGUGGUUGAUGUUAUUUUUCAAGUCAACAACCAGUUACAGUAACAGCACAGAUUAAACAAAUGAACAAGCUAUCUCUCUGCCCUGCACUGAAAUGAUAUCUUUCUUGUGCUUUGCCUCUGAAUGGACUGGACAUGAUUGCACACGGCUUUCAGCCCAGCACUCUGGAGGCAGAAGCAGGUGGAAUUCUGUGAGUCUGAGGCCAGCCUGGUCUACAAAGAGAGUUCCAGGACAGCCAGGGCUACAUAAUGAGACCCCCAUCUUGAAAUACAACCAACAAACAUUGAAGUGCGUCUUGAAUGGCUUUUAUACUUCUUGGUCUCCUAAUCUACAAACUUGUUGUGUCAAAGCCCUGCAGCUAUCAUGUGAUUAUAUCAGCUUGGUCCAGAGUUUUAGCAUCUGGCACAACUGUUCUACAUCAGUGUUUUUCACAGACAAAAUGUUGCUCGUGAAACGGAAAUAUUUAGAAUUGCUUCGACAUAAAUGUUAAAGGCUUUAUAGGACCCAAGAAAAACCCCGUUGACGUUCUGAUUAAAAUUAAGGUUCUUAUCCCUUUGGAAAUCGCUGACACUUGUGGUUAUUAAUCCCUAUGAUCCAAGGGCAUUUCACACUUCCCUGUUAGUUCAAAUGUGGCUUUUAUAACCUGUAACAAAAUGUCAUGAUUUUCUUUAAGAAGCUCCUUUAACUUCUGAUAUUUUAACAGCUAACUUUACAAUGUAAUAAAAAUAGAAAUUCCCCAAA